rnacentral:tRNA from 1 species
UGGUUAAGUGGUCACUGCGCUCGCCUUGCACGCGGGAGACCCGGGUUCGAUUCCCGG